GGGACCCCGGCGCCGACCCGCUGGGGGUCCAGCCGUGCGCCGCCGCCCGCUGCGAGGGUCUGGAGAGUGGCGGAGGCGGGGCCGCUGCGGGGCCUUCCCUUCCGCCGCAGAGCCCCGCUCCCAAAGUCCUGUGCCCGGCCUCACACACCGGACGGCGAGCAAAGCGGGGAAAGCCAGUCGGCCAGCAACUGGGAGGGAAACUAAGCCGGGCGCCGGCGGGCUCCAGCCUCUGCUUCUGCCGCGAUGGCAUAUUCUGAGGGGCUGCUCUGCAGAAAAGGCCAAGUGAAAAGUCAUCCAGUGACGAGGAAGGAGGAAGAUGGCACGUCGAGUUCACGAGGAGGUUGUGCUGCUCCGAUGCUGAGCAGGCUGGAAUGGCACAAUCACCGGGAAAAGUAGCAAACACCAAUCAGAGAAUGUCAUGGCAGUGCUCCGUCAACGCUAAUGACUUUUAAUAACAUUGGAACCAACAUGUGGCAUUCCACGAGGCGAUGGAGUUGAAGUUUGUCUUCGGUUGAUACAGAAUUCUCUCCCAUAUGGCAGCUAAUGGGCAGUGAGAGGAUGUUGGAGGAUCCAGGAACAAAGCUCAAGAGAAAGAAGGAUAUUAUUCCACCCUACAAGCUAGCAGUGACGGAAACUUGGAAAUGAAUGCAAGUAUGUGCAGGUACAUAGGUCACAAAUUUUAGAAGUCUGAACUACCUCUGGUUUAUUCAUCUGAAAUGAAAAUAUUCUUUGACCAUCAAAAUCAUGUUUAUGGCUUAUUUGGGAAAAUUUAUCUUAAAACCAGAUACAGAUUUUGGAAGGAAACCAGGAACCUGGACAGUACAAUCCACUUGGGGUCAAAGGCAAAACUCCUGGGAGAUUGAAGUUUUCCUUGUUAAGCCUGCAAUAUUAAGAUUUGGGAAAUGUAGAAGAAAUAACUGAAAAUAUCUUCCUAGAAGUAACUGUAUAUCAUCAGCUUUAGAUGCAAAAACUAGGAACUGGCUUCAUUCGAAGGAAUAAUUACUCAGCUCUCUAGAGUUUGCUUGAAUGACUUGGUGGACCAAAUUUAUAGCUUAUAU